rnacentral:rRNA from 1 species
UACAGAGGGGGCUAGCGUUGUUCGGAAUUACUGGGCGUAAAGGGCGCGUAGGUGGCCUGUUAAGUCGAACGUGAAAUCCCCGGGCUCAACCCGGGAACUGCGUCCGAGACUGGCAGGCUCGAAUCCGGGAGAGGGAUGUGGAAUUCCAGGUGUAGCGGUGAAAUGCGUAGAUAUUGGGAGGAACACCAGUGGCGAAGGCGGCUCACUGGACCGGAACUGACGCUGAGGCGCGAAAGCGUGGGGAGCAAACAGG